ensembl:lncRNA
GUCAAUUUAAGUUUAGCAAAAGAAUUCACACAACAAGAAUGUCAAACAACUUCCCCUAAUGUAGUCCUUAUAUGCAGGCUAGCAUUGCUCUUGCUGACUAAGAAUUUUUCCUGUACCACAAUAACUGUCCUCAUGGAAUUAGGCACUAUUCAAGAUAAGAAAAGGUUGCAAAACCUAUUCCUGUCUUGAUAUAAAAUUAUGUAGAGUAGGGCUGCAAGAGAUGUGAAAAUGUCAUCUGGUUUGUCCUCAGGCAGAAUCAAUAUUUGUGUUCCUUGUGACAGAUGUACAUUCUUAAUGAUAGUGACUUCACUGCAUCCCCAGGUUUCACUAUGUUUAUGUUCAGAAAGGUUUUCCUAAUAACUAUUCUGACUCUCUAGCAUAAUUCAGCUUGUUGUUUCUUAACAUGUCUGCCGUGACUGCGGAGGAUAUAUUACUCCCUCUUUACAACAGGAUCUUUUCCAAAGAGAAUUGACAUCUAUAGUGUUACCCCAGGCAUGUCCAACCUGUGGCGUAGCAGAGCUCACACUGCAACUGCCCCCUACUCUGCAUUGUAAAGGGAGAAGCUCUUUCCCACCGAGCAGCCCAGCCUGGCCCUGGACAUACACUCAUUGUUCAUGAUCUUCUCAUACCCUGGUAAGGAAAAGCAGCAAAAACAGAAGUCUUGCAAAUGCCUACAGCCAUGGUGACAAACUUAUGAAAACCAUCCAGAAAAGGAAAACAGAAAAUUCUUUGGCAACUCUCAUCAUUACAGUUCUAGUCUGCAUUAAACACCACAUAUUUUUGGAUAUAUGGAAGAGAGAAAGGUAGUAGCAGCUGAAAUGGUCAAAGCAGACCUCUGAGGAGAUGAUACUCAUCACAUGUCACUAUGACCUACAUCUUUGUCAACGCUGGAGAAAUGCGUUUACAAUUUUGCUAUGUGGAAUGUACAUUGAGAUGAAGAGAUAAAUGAGGAUGUAUUUAUGACAGUUUCUAACCUUUCUACUUUUCCAGACACAGAAAAGCAAUGUGAAUGCACCAUUUCAAUAAUCCCACAGUGUUCACAGAUUCAAUCAUUUGUAAAGUAUGAGUUGUGUAGCAGACAACCACCACUUCGGCACGUCACAUGGCUCACUGGCUACAGACAGCUGCUUUCCCUGUGUGUUUUCAAUAGAUUUCCUCUACUACACCUCCUGAAGUUACUUGAAAGAAUUUAAUAUUCUUACUUCCUCCUAGGUAAAUCACUUCUGUGUUUUUCCUCCUGGAGUUUAUUGUCUUUCUCUGCAUUGUGUUUAGAUCGAGGUCAAUGGUCCUGGGUUCUGUUUCCUCCCUAACAACCUCAGCCCCCCAUCUCCUUUCCAGUCAGGAAAACCCGUGUGAUGGUCAGCAGCAAUGUGAAGUGCAGAGAUUUCCUCAGUGCCUUCCCGCAGAGCCUGAGUCAGCAGUGCUCCUCAUGAGCCUCAGUGACCCAGCUCCCCAGCACCCUGGGGAAUACAGCUUUGUGCCUGCAGUCUCCUUCCAGAGAAAUCCAGUAAUUUCCAGUCCAAUUCUUAACAGAGCAUUAAGCACUAUUCUGGCAAAUCUGCUUCAUGUCUUAAACUGAGUUUCUGUCAAACUAUUGAAGUACUAUACAUAAAUGUUCAUAAGCCUAACCUUAGCUGAACGUCAAUCCAGACUGCAAUCAAAAUAUAAUUUUACAUUCAUUUAAUAAGUUAUUUGCUUUAAUGUUUUUGCUUGAUCAUCUCUCUAAACAAGUUUGGGUUGGCCCACUUUUCAAAAUAGUUUCUGUCAUCAAAAUAUGUCAUUCUCAUGCAGUUUUAAAAUAGUACUCCCUCCUUACCGUGCACAUAAAAUACUGCUCUAGAAGUAGGAAGAUUUAUUUUACAACUGCAAAUCUAAGCUUUCAAAACUGAGCAUUGAUUCUGAUUUCUGAUUAUCCAGUAUGAGCCAGUUUGCAGCUUCCAAAAAGUGGGCAUUCAGUUCUCUGAUAUCCUAUAGAGUUAUUGCAUCAGUAGUAUAUGAGCUUUGAUCAAUGGAAAUUUCUGAGUAUAAAAUCCACCCUGAAGCUGUUGCUUAAUGGACUUCAUUCUGAAAAUAAUUUAUUUCUGCAUUUCCUGGAGCUGUUUUUAAAAAGAUUUUUAUUUGUUUAUUGUGAUUUUUUUUUCUUUUUCCUAUUAUAAAACUUACUCCACAUCCCAGAUUAGAUUAAAAAAAAUGCCCCACAAGACAAAGUACACUCUCAUUAUCAGGCAGGGAGAUAUUAGUAGCUUCAGCUGUCCUUAGUAAAAAGUAAAGAGAAAUAAAAGGGUAGUGGCAGAAGGUAACUUUUAGUCAGCCUGAAAGCUCUACCCAAGACACUCAGGCCACAGCAAUCUCCUGCCUCUGAGGAUUCCUGAAGUUCAAGAUAUUUAAUGGUCCAUUUGUG